GGGUAUAUAUCUCAGUUGGUAGAGUGCUUGCCUUGCAUGCACAAAGCUCUGGGUUCAAUCCCCAGUAACACA
rnacentral:tRNA from 1 species